UCAGAUAGCGGCCAGCCACAAAGAAAGCGUUUUGCUGCUGCUUCCCGCACGUCUGCUCAGUCUUUUCUGUAAUCAUUGUGAUUAUUGAAGAGAGACAGCUUAGCACCUUGAUCUAAGCUUAGUUUCACCUGGCACCCUGCCCUUAUGUUUUUGUGUUUUCCCUUAUCAAACAUUUCAUGGGUCUUCAUGUGAUCCUUACGCUUCAUGCAACUUAGACAACUUUUGUGUGCUGAUGUUGCAUUGCAAUGCUCAGUUGUGGGCUUGCUGUGCAGUCACAGCCCCUGCACUUGCACUUCAUAGCCUCUCACUUACUAAAGGAUCAGUUUUAAACUCGAUGCUCCAUUCUGAUAAAGCAGCUUCAAUAAAUACGAGUACAGAAGCCAUCAUCCCGUCACAGCUUCCUGGAUGGUUUGCUGUGUCCUUUGCCAAGGGAGAUCCCUGCUUCACAAAUCUGCUCUGAUAGCAAUCCUGUUUUUCUUCCCUGCAACAAAAGCAGCUUUUGUUUCUGGUCAUUUUUUUUCUGAUCCCUUUAACAAUUUAACAAUUUUGAACUCAAUUAUGCAUAUAGAUAAUAUUAGAAACAAGAAAUUGGCUUUGAUUUUUCAUUUCGCUUUAGCCCUUGAGAGAUUACAAGAGGAUCCUCAAAAGGUUUCUGACCUCUCCGCUCCUUCUGACCUUCCUUGUGACCUUAGGAGGAGAAAGAAUCUUUGAGGAGACUUCCUAUACGUCCGACCCAGAGCUAGGGUGGUCACAGCUCUAGUGUGUGUCCACCUACACAACUGAACAAGCAGCAUGUGCUGGCUCUCAGCACACUCUGAAGGACUACAGCGACUGCUAUUGAAGCAAACGUUUGUGCUGCCUUCUGCAAAUCUGGACAAGAAGCAGUUGAAGACAGGUACCGCCUCUUCCUCCAUCUGUAGAGCUGUUGACUCUUACCAUGGCCAACUCUCUCAAGUCAGUUAGAAACCUGUGACACAGAAGUGACAAGUCAGUUCAGAGGCGACAGCUGGGAGUCGCAAGAAAGCAAAAGUGUCUGUAUGACACAGUUAGUGACUCUGGAAAGAUCCUCUCUUUCAGACUGGUGAACAGGAGAAAAUCUAAAAAUUAAAGAAUUGGAAGAGCAGGGCAUUAGUAAUAUACAUUUUGAAGAGCAAGGAAAUGCAAAUUUGAAGCAGCUUAACAGCAAACGCUAAUUCUUUUCCUUUCCUGGCAAACAAUUCAUGCUAGGAAAAUGGCUACAUGGAAAAAGAGCACUUUCUUCUGCAGCUUUCUGCAACUGUGGGUAGGCUGCUGGUUUCAUGGUACUUCUUCACUCAGUGCAUUAGUCAGACUUGUUAGCGAGGCUUCCACAGCAGUGUCACAGGCAGACAGGAGGUGUGUGGUAUCAAAACAGUGAAGUUUCUCCUGGAAGCGUGUCAAGAGAGGCAACCCACACACUGUGCCUGGAACACAUGCCACAGUCUCACAGUUUAUCCUACGAUCUAUGACAACAAAAAUAAAUCACUUGCAUUCAUCUGAAGUGAUGGAGAGAAUCGCUCACCCAUUUCUCCCACGAGACCCCCAAACUCACCUUCCAGCUUCUCAAAAGGGCAGCUUGAUGGCAAAUGCGACUGCUUGCUUCUAUUAGAAUCUGUCUUGUCACAGACACAGUAGCAUCAUCCAGUCUGUUCCUUGGUAAAAUCAUGAAAGGCAGAAACUUCUGCUCAUUAGAUUUGCUGCAAAACUGACAUUUUACCAGUCAUCAGUCAGGAACACAGUUACACCUUUGCAAAAUCAGAAUAACUACACCCAGGAAAACUGGAUGUAUGUAAAAUCACUCCUUGCAAUCCCAAGCAUGCAGACCGAGAUUAUCUAUUGAAAUGCCAGGCAUAAGUUAUUCAUUAACUAAAACCAUUCUGUAAUUUUAUUGAUAUAUUUUGUGGAGUUCACAUAUUUUUGUACAGCAAACAUAACACUGUAGGCCACAAGAAGCUGCAGCACUAUUGUUUAAUAGCAGCAAGGUAUAUUUUAUAAUCAGGGUAUGUGGACAAUAAAUAGUCUGUUUCUUUGGAUGUGAAUGUUUAAAAUGAAGUUCUGCUGCAGCUUCAUAAUGUGAUUGCUAUUUUACAGAGCUUAUACACAAAAAUAUAUACGCAAUCUUUUUGUCUAUAUUUUAUACAAAUACAACAGUAGUUUGUGAAUACAUUUUAAAGUACAUAUACAUGAUAAGCAACUCAAUUUCCCAUAUCACAGGAUAGCAAAUUUUAAAUGCAAGAAACAUACACAAAUUCUGUCUGGAAUGCAGGGUUUUCUGUGUUCUUUUUUUUUUUUUUUUUUUUUUUUUCCCUCUGUUUUUGACUCAAAAAUUUGAUCAUUCAAACAUUUUAGCAUUCGAGUCCAAACGAUUUUCCCACUAUCUAUAAAAUAGAAUUUCAGCAAUCCAAGCCAGGUUUGGGUGUGUCAUCAUUCCCCAAUAUACUCUUUCCCAGUUUUUGUCUAAAUUCAGAAGCUUUUAGUAAUAUAUAGUAUGUUCUUCACUCCACACCAUAUAAAAAGCCCACGUUUAAUUGUAACUAAAUCAUCUAUUUUUUUUAUCUUUUUUUUAUGUGAAUAAGAGCUGGGCUUGUCAGCGUUUAAAUUUGCAUGUCCAACAUUUUAAUUCUGCAAGUGCAUAUGAAUACAUUGUGGUGUUGUACAAAGUUCAUUAAUGACAAAUUAAGUCACAGUAUAAAAAUAUAUCAUACAACUAUAGGUCUAGUAUAGUCCUUUUUUUCUAUGGGUAAAAAUACAUCUGAAUGAGACAGGGAGGUUUGUAGCACCAUGAGAGGAGUUGUAUCCCAAGUUACAUUAGCAGCAUGAUCCAAUAUAACAAUAUUGCAGGAGUGUUUCUGAGGAGAUAAACAUUCACUCUGGUUCAACUGUACCACUGAAGCUUAUACUGAAAAGUGUUUACAUAUGAUUAGCAAUAGUUCUGUGUCACUUCCAGGGCUAGAUAACUGUUAUCAAAAGACACUGCCUUCCAACAAAGUAAGACACCCUUAUUACAUAAAGCUUUGGGACAAUCCAAACACAUUUUUGAACCACUGUGGCAUUGUUUGUAUGCUGAGUGUAAUGCUAAUGCCUAUGGUUUUAAUUGUACACUGGGAAGAUGCAGAAUGGGCAGCAAAGUCUAUACAGUUUACUACAUACCAGGUAAGUACAUUUAUUUCGGAGGCUUAUCUAUAGACUGAGAAGAAUAUAGGAUGAGCUGCUAAACCAGUGUAUGAGACAGACAUAACGAAGGAUGCAGCCCUGCUCCCCUUGACAUUUACGGAUGCAGGAUCAGGCCCUUAGUUAACUUCAGACAGCAGCAUAGCGUUGAGAGCAUAUGUUAAAAAAAUCUGCAUCAAAUACUGCGUGUUAAAUAUUUUUGCAAUAGUUACCACCCAGAACUCCAGAGGACACAAUUUACAAUUGGUGAGUGAGGACAAACUCUUUUUCUUUUUUCUUUUUCUUUUUUCCUUUUUUUUUUUCUUUUUUUCUUUUUUUUUUUUCUUUUUUUUUGGACUGGUAUUCAAAAUGGCAGUAGAAGACAGUGUAGUUUGAAACAUGUAAACCUAGUAAAAACCAUUGUAAAACCCUUAAGAAAGACACACUGGUUCUGUGCAAUAUAGCAAAUUGAUAAGAAAACACUGUAAAAAUGUACCUGUUUAAAAUUACAAUGUCUACCAUUUUGUACACAAAGCAUUAUACCAAAGGCCUACAUAUAUGUCAUCUAAUGGCACUUGAAACAAAUUAUAAUAAAAAGGUUUUAUAAUAAAAAGCAUAACCUGUAAGAAACUUUCUUAAAAGGUUUAGGUUUUUCUUUUGAAAGUGCUAUAUCUUGUAAUAUGUGUAACAUAGAGGUUGACCAAGCUUUAUUUUAAAAAAUAUUGGCCUAUAAUACAUGUUUAGCUCACUAGGCAAAUGAUCCUGAAAAUAUGUACUCUUAACAUUCAUUAUUAGCUUAAUAAAGCAAUCAGCUCUGGCUCAUGUUUCAGUCAGUAUAUGGUUUUAAAAAACCGCUACUGCCAAAUUAACAAUAAAUCACUCUAUUCCACAAUUUACUACUAAAUUAAGCACAAGCAACAAGUACACAAAAAAUUUUUUUUUUAAAAAAAACAAAAACAAAAAAACACAACAAAACAGAACAAAAAGAAGGAAAAAAAAAAGAAAAACAACAACAAAAAACCAACAAACCUCGCUAGAAGUUUCCAAGUUGCACAAAGAGUGGUGCACAAUCAGCCAGCCCUCCCCACCCCCCCUCCAAAAACCAAUCUGAAACCUAGAAAACAGGGUUUAAAAAACCAAUUUUUUAAUAGUGGCCAAUACUGACUCUGCCUAAAUAAUAUCCAAAAGCACUAAUGUGUUAAUAUUGCUUACAGUGUCACAUCUGCUUCCAUACUGUCCUACAUCCUAGCUCAGCGGCACAGGCCCAGCGCAGCUGCUGGCUGCAGCCCUGACUGAAUGAGGUUCAAUACCUUGUCUGAGGUCCCUGCUCCUCCACUGAAAUGUACGUCUAUCUCUUAAGUGAAAUGUCAACCCUUCUCGGGAAGCUAAGGCACUAACGAAGUAGUAAGGACUCCGGCUAAGUACUAAGAACUGGGUGUUGGCCAAGUGUUUGUUGGGGUUUUUUAAUCGAGUCUGAUCAGCAGCUGGGACUGAUAAGCAGGUGGCGCUGUCCUGUGCUGAGUGUCAGAUGUGCCACAUUGAGUCACCUCCGCGAGCAGCCUGGACAAGUUAUCUGGUAGUGGCCGAGGAGACUGAACUUAUUUGUGACACUCAACCAAGGAACUCCCUCCAGGCCAUCCAAAAACUGCUCACAGAGAUGAAGCUCCCAAGGCCUGUGUGCCAGGAAGAAGAGCGCGGCCUACCCACUCCACAGCGGCUGCCAGAGCUGAGCAUCACGGCACCCCUCUGCUCACAAGGGAACAGAGCUCACAGGAGCAAGGGAGGCCGUCUCUCUUCAUCCCCAAUGGUCUGAAAAGACUCAGAAGAAAGCCAAGUUGUCCCUACGUGCAUUGUGAUUGCUGAUUUCUAACCAGAAAUACAUUCUGUGGUGUUCACCUUGUGCUCUGUUCACCUGUGUUUUUCUUUCUUUUAGAAAGGUGAUGAGAA